rnacentral:rRNA from 1 species
CUACGGGCCGCUGCAGUGGGGAAUAUUGGACAAUGGGCGCAAGCCUGAUCCAGCAAUACCGCGUGUGUGAAGAAGGCCUGCGGGUUGUAAAGCACUUUCAAUUGUGAAGAAAAGCGAGGGCUUAAUACGCUCUUGUCUUGACGUUAACUUUAGAAGAAGCACCGGCUAACUCUGUGCCAGCAGCCGCGGUAAUACAGAGGGUGCGAGCGUUAAUCGGAAUUACUGGGCGUAAAGCGUACGUAGGCGGUUUAGUAAGUCAGAUGUGAAAGCCCUGGCUCAACCUGGGAACUGCAUUUGAAACUGCUAGACUAGAGUGUGGUAGAGGGAAGUGGAAUUCCGGGUGUAGCGGUGAAAUGCGUAGAUAUCCGGAGGAACACCAGUGGCGAAGGCGACUUCCUGGACCAACACUGACGCUGAGGUACGAAAGCGUGGGUAGCAAACAGGAUUAGAUACCCCAGUAGUC